UUGACGCUGGCGGUUGCUUAACACAUGCAAGUCGAACGGUAACAGCAAGAGCUUGCUCUUGGCUGACGAGUGGCGGACGGGUGAGUAACGCGUAAGAAUCUACCUAUGUAGUGGGGGAUAACUCGGGGAAACUCGAGCUAAUACCGCAUACGCCCUACGGGGGAAAGUGGGGGACCUUCGGGCCUCACGCUAUUAGAUGAGCUUGCGUUGGAUUAGCUAGUUGGUGAGGUAAUGGCUCACCAAGGCGACGAUCCAUAGCUGGUCUGAGAGGACGAUCAGCCACACUGGGACUGAGACACGGCCCAGACUCCUACGGGAGGCAGCAGUGGGGAAUAUUGGACAAUGGGCGCGAGCCUGAUCCAGCAAUACCGCGUGUGUGAAGAAGGCCUGCGGGUUGUAAAGCACUUUCAAUUGUGAAGAAAAGCUUGGGGUUAAUAGCCUCGAGUCUUGACGUUAACUUUAGAAGAAGCACCGGCUAACUCUGUGCCAGCAGCCGCGGUAAUACAGAGGGUGCGAGCGUUAAUCGGAAUUACUGGGCGUAAAGCGUACGUAGGCGG
rnacentral:rRNA from 1 species